rnacentral:lncRNA from 1 species
UUCUUGGUUUAAUUUUUUUUCAAUUGCCAUAUCCUCACCCUACAAUUAUAGCGAGUGAGAUAUGUAAUGGCCAUGCUGAGACUGUCAAACAGCUGAAUUUUCUAACUGCCCAAUACUGGACACCAGUGUGAUGUUUUUAGGUAUUUAAUCCUCUUAUUAGUAACUGUGAUUCAUAAUAAUUUAAGCUUUAAAUAAUAUUCCACCUUACAUCUGCAUGUAAUAGAGCUCAGUUAUUAUUUGUGGCAAGAAUUUUUGUGACUGUACUGCUCAGCACUUCUAUUUACAUCAGCAGUGCUAAAUGCCCAAUGGUGAGAGGGGAGCCAAUCAGAUGGCAGAUUAGAUGUCAACUCAGAGGCAGCUGUCUGGAGACUAUUACAGCCAGUUUACCUCCACAAUUCAAAUUCCAAACCUUGCAAAGGAGAUCAAGUCAGUCUUUAGGCUCAGCCUCCGAGCGAGAAACAGCAAGAGUGCAGGACUCUUCCUAAUAACGCUGUAGGACUUGCGGGGGGACAGGAAAUUAAAAAUCCAAAUAAAUCUGAUUCAAAAAGAUCCAUUUUCACUGGUCUGCUCCCUCCCUGGGUUCGCUGACUAAAAACGUACGCCUAACCCACGAUCCAAAUAAGUUCAGUUUAACCGGAAUGUGGUCCUUUAACGCAGCCUAUCCGUUGAAGGUGACUCCUUUCAAGCAGCCUGCAAGCCAAAUAAUGGAUUUCCCCGGCUUAUUCUUGGGAAUGAAUCGAUAUAUUUUAGGGUCGUUUUCCUCCCCAUCGUUCUAAGACGUGGGUACUCUUUUUGGCUACUAAACGCUCAAAACUCGAAGCCCGCGUCGAAUAUCGCCGAAUGCCUGGGCACAACUACGAAACACACGCUCGGCUGCCACAAAGCUAACCUUUUUUUUUUUUUCCUCCUGCCUUCACCUUGUGAGCUCUAAGAGGGAAAAACGCGGUGUGGCCUGAGGUAGGACAAAGUUCCUCAUUCUUUCCUCAGUUCGAGCUCAUGGUGGGCGCUACCCGAGAAGCGGGGGGCAGUUAUUUCUCCUCAGACCCUACCGGCCCGGAGCGCCUAUUUCUGCGGUAAAAAUAAAUAAAUAUAUAAAAUAAAGCUGCCCGAACGGUCCCCGGCGCCCACACGGCUUCCCGGUGGCGCGGUCCCGGCCGC